GAUGGACGCUGGCGGCGUGCCUAAUACAUGCAAGUCGAGCGAACGGACGAGAAGCUUGCUUCUCUGAUGUUAGCGGCGGACGGGUGAGUAACACGUGGAUAACCUACCUAUAAGACUGGGAUAACUUCGGGAAACCGGAGCUAAUACCGGAUAAUAUUUUGAACCGCAUGGUUCAAAAGUGAAAGACGGUCUUGCUGUCACUUAUAGAUGGAUCCGCGCUGCAUUAGCUAGUUGGUAAGGUAACGGCUUACCAAGGCAACGAUGCAUAGCCGACCUGAGAGGGUGAUCGGCCACACUGGAACUGAGACACGGUCCAGACUCCUGCGGGAGGCAGCAGUAGGGAAUCUUCCGCAAUGGGCGAAAGCCUGACGGAGCAACGCCGCGUGAGUGAUGAAGGUCUUCGGAUCGUAAAACUCUGUUAUUAGGGAAGAACAUAUGUGUAAGUAACUGUGCACAUCUUGACGGUACCUAAUCAGAAAGCCACGGCUAACUACGUG
rnacentral:rRNA from 1 species